rnacentral:tRNA from 1 species
GACGGAAUAAAAUAAUGGUAGUUUGAAGGGCUCAUAAUCCUUUUGUGCUGGUUCGAAUCCAGCUUCCGUCA